UUCAUGUGGAACCAAUGUAUCAGUGUGUU
rnacentral:piRNA from 1 species